UAGGCUUGAAUGUGCGUACCUC
rnacentral:siRNA from 1 species